rnacentral:ncRNA from 1 species
CAGAAACUAAUGACCGAGAGGAGUACAUGGUCUGAACGGAUUCACAGAGAGCCGCAGGUGGUGGGAUUGCAGCAGUCUAAGGAACAUGGAAUGGACUCGGGAAGGUGGGAGCAAAGAGCAUAUGCUUGAGUAAUGCCCAACGGGAUUUCCACCCGUUAUCAAGGGAAGACGUAUGAUAGUACGUUUAUGGAGAGGGUGUAUUUUUAUACAUCAAUUUAGGUGGUACCGCAGAAGUAUAUUCAAGAGCUUUUGUCCUAAGC